rnacentral:lncRNA from 1 species
CUCCCUUGGUAGGGGCAUGCAGAAGACCUGAUGACACAAACCCUCCAAAGAGUUUCACCCUCACCACAACAGGUGGCUUCCUGCUCGGCAGCCCAUCCUGCAUCACUUCAGUGGACUUCUCUGACAUCUACUAGACCACAUUAAAUGAAUCACAGCCUUGAAACUGAACUGGAAGGACUUCCUUCAAGGAGCCAGCAUAUGAACUUGCUGCCUAUCUUUAGCAAGGAGAUGCAAAUGACAUCCACAAACCUCUUCUGCUGUAUACCUGGAUGAAAGCAAGGCUAGCUGUGUGUCCUAUGGCACCAAGGACUGAAAGAUUGUAAGAAGUAAGAAUGUGAUGCCAGAAGUAGAGCAGCCAUCUUGCAACCACAAAGCAACAGCAUGAGUAUGAAAGUUAGUGCAUUAAGGAUGCUGGAAUAGAAUGAUUGAAAGCCAGAUGCCUAAUGACGUUGCUGAAUAGCUGAAACAAUACCAGCAACUAGCUGGUCUUGCUCUGUUGCCUGGCCUGAAGUGCAGUGGCAUGAUCAUGGCUCACUGCAGCCUCAACCUCCCAGGCACAAGUGAUCCUCCCACCUCAACUUCCAGAAUAUAGAAGCUGGAACUACAGUGACCUACAUCCAAAGUGAAAAGUUAUUCAGCCUCUGAAGAGAAGCAUUUUGUUUGGGGAUCUUCAAGUAUGCUUGUCAGCACCGAGAACUGGAAAAAAAUCUCUGAUUGUCCUGCAGCAAUGGCAUUAAAGGCUCCUCAUAACAUACAGAACCAGAAUUGUGCCAUAAUUUACUGAAAUUGAACAUUGCUCUGUGACUGCUAAUUUUCCAUCGAGAUGAUUCUGUCUCUAACCAAGAAAAGAAAAGUUUGUCUUCCUGACUGCUGACACUGCUGACCAAGCCCACCACCAGAUGCCUGGCUGCACACCCAGAGGGCAGCCGCUUCCCGUGGUCCUCUCGAAGAACUUCCCUUUUGCAAUGCAUGUUUAGCAAGUGGAUGAGUUUGUCUUUUCUGAUUUCUCUGCAAGCUCUGCAUUGCCCACCUGAACCAGUGCUUCAGAAGAACUAAUGGGAUCUCUGACCCUCCAACAUCCUCUUCCAGACUUUCACUUUCCUGGCUCCUUGCAGGGACAUGUAAUAAACGUGCUCUCCAGAGAAAGCCUGA